GACGAACGCUGGCGGCGUGCUUAACACAUGCAAGUCGAACGAUGAUGCUGGAGCUUGCUCCAGUUGAUUAGUGGCGAACGGGUGAGUAACACGUGAGCAAUCCGCCCUUGACUCUGGGAUAACUGCGGGAAACUGUAGCUAAUACCGGAUACUUUCACCGGGGGGCAUCCUCUGGUGAUGAAAGAAUUUCGGUCAAGGAUGAGCUCGCGGCCGAUCAGCUUGUUGGUGAGGUAACGGCUCACCAAGGCGACGACGGGUAACCGGCCUGAGAGGGUGACCGGUCACACUGGGACUGAGACACGGCCCAGACUCCUACGGGAGGCAGCAGUGGGGAAUAUUGCACAAUGGGCGCAAGCCUGAUGCAGCAACGCCGCGUGAGGGAUGAAGGCCUUCGGGUUGUAAACCUCUUUUAGCAGGGAAGAAGCGAAAGUGACGGUACCUGCAGAAAAAGCACCGGCUAACUACGUGCCAGCCGCCGCAGUAA
rnacentral:rRNA from 1 species